GGUUAAGUUAGAAAGGGCGCACGGUGGAUGCCUUGGCACUAGGAGCCGAUGAAGGACGGGACGAACACCGAUAUGCUUCGGGGAGCUGUAAGCAAGCUUUGAUCCGGAGAUUUCCGAAUGGGGAAACCCACCACUCGUAAUGGAGUGGUAUCCAUAUCUGAAUACAUAGGAUAUGAGAAGGCAGACCCGGGGAACUGAAACAUCUAAGUACCCGGAGGAAGAGAAAGCAAAUGCGAUUCCCUGAGUAGCGGCGAGCGAAACGGGACCAGCCCAAACCAAGAGGCUUGCCUCUUGGGGUUGUAGGACACUCUGUACGGAGUUACAAAGGAACGAGGUAGAUGAAGAGGUCUGGAAAGGCCCGCCAUAGGAGGUAACAGCCCUGUAGUCAAAACUUCGUUCUCUCCUGAGUGGAUCCUGAGUACGGCGGAACACGUGAAAUUCCGUCGGAAUCCGGGAGGACCAUCUCCCAAGGCUAAAUACUCCCUAGUGACCGAUAGUGAACCAGUACCGUGAGGGAAAGGUGAAAAGCACCCCGGAAGGGGAGUGAAAGAGAUCCUGAAACCGUGUGCCUACAAGUAGUCAGAGCCCGUUAACGGGUGAUGGCGUGCCUUUUGUAGAAUGAACCGGCGAGUUACGAUCCCGUGCAAGGUUAAGCAGAAGAUGCGGAGCCGCAGCGAAAGCGAGUCUGAAUAGGGCGAAUUGAGUACGUGGUCGUAGACCCGAAACCAGGUGAUCUACCCAUGUCCAGGGUGAAGUUCAGGUAACACUGAAUGGAGGCUUCGAACCCACGCACGUUGAAAAGUGCGGGGAUGAGGUGUGGGUAGGGGUGAAAUGCCAAUCGAACCUGGAGAUAGCUGGUUCUCUCCGAAAUAGCUUUAGGGCUAGCCUCAAGGUAAGAGUCUCGGAGGUAGAGCACUGAUUGGACUAGGGGCCCCUACCGGGUUACCGAAUUCAGUCAAACUCCGAAUGCCGAUGACUUAUCCUUGGGAGUCAGACUGCGAGUGAUAAGAUCCGUAGUCGAAAGGGAAACAGCCCAGACCGCCAGCUAAGGUCCCAAAGUAUACGUUAAGUGGAAAAGGAUGUGGAGUUGCUUAGACAACCAGGAUGUUGGCUUAGAAGCAGCCACCAUUUAAAGAGUGCGUAAUAGCUCACUGGUCGAGUGACUCUGCGCCGAAAAUGUACCGGGGCUAAACGUAUCACCGAAGCUGCGGACUGUUCUUCGAACAGUGGUAGGAGAGCGUUCUAAGGGCUGUGAAGCAAGACCGGAAGGACUUGUGGAGCGCUUAGAAGUGAGAAUGCCGGUAUGAGUAGCGAAAGAGGGGUGAGAAUCCCCUCCACCGAAUGCCUAAGGUUUCCUGAGGAAGGCUCGUCCGCUCAGGGUUAGUCGGGGCCUAAGCCGAGGCCGAAAGGCGUAGGCGAUGGAUAACAGGUUGAUAUUCCUGUACCACCUCCUCACCAUUUGAGCAAUGGGGGGACGCAGGAGGAUAGGGUGAGCGCGGUAUUGGAUAUCCGCGUCCAAGCAGUUAGGCUGGGAAAUAGGCAAAUCCGUUUCCCGUGAAGGCUGAGCUGUGAUGGCGAGCGAAUUAUAGUAGCGAAGUUCCUGAUUCCACACUGCCAAGAAAAGCCUCUAGCGAGGUGAGAGGUGCCCGUACCGCAAACCGACACAGGUAGGCGAGGAGAGAAUCCUAAGGUGAUCGAGAGAACUCUCGUUAAGGAACUCGGCAAAAUGACCCCGUAACUUCGGGAGAAGGGGUGCUCUGUUAGGGUGCAAGCCCGAGAGAGCCGCAGUGAAUAGGCCCAGGCGACUGUUUAGCAAAAACACAGGUCUCUGCGAAGCCGUAAGGCGAAGUAUAGGGGCUGACGCCUGCCCGGUGCUGGAAGGUUAAGAGGAGCGCUUAGCGUAAGCGAAGGUGCGAAUUGAAGCCCCAGUAAACGGCGGCCGUAACUAUAACGAUCCUAAGGUAGCGAAAUUCCUUGUCGGGUAAGUUCCGACCCGCACGAAAGGCGCAACGAUCUGGGCACUGUCUCAACGAGAGACUCGGUGAAAUUAUAGUACCUGUGAAGAUGCAGGUUACCCGCGACAGGACGGAAAGACCCCGUGGAGCUUUACUGCAGCCUGAUAUUGAAUGUUGGUACAGCUUGUACAGGAUAGGUAGGAGCCUUGGAAACCGGAGCGCCAGCUUCGGUGGAGGCAUCGGUGGGAUACUACCCUGGCUGUAUUGACCUUCUAACCCGCCGCCCUUAUCGGGCGGGGAGACAGUGUCAGGUGGGCAGUUUGACUGGGGCGGUCGCCUCCUAAAAGGUAACGGAGGCGCCCAAAGGUUCCCUCAGAAUGGUUGGAAAUCAUUCGCAGAGUGUAAAGGCACAAGGGAGCUUGACUGCGAGACCUACAAGUCGAGCAGGGACGAAAGUCGGGCUUAGUGAUCCGGUGGUUCCGCAUGGAAGAGCCAUCGCUCAACGGAUAAAAGCUACCCCGGGGAUAACAGGCUUAUCUCCCCCAAGAGUCCACAUCGACGGGGAGGUUUGGCACCUCGAUGUCGGCUCAUCGCAUCCUGGGGCUGUAGUCGGUCCCAAGGGUUGGGCUGUUCGCCCAUUAAAGCGGUACGCGAGCUGGGUUCAGAACGUCGUGAGACAGUUCGGUCCCUAUCCGUCGCGGGCGCAGGAAAUUUGAGAGGAGCUGUCCUUAGUACGAGAGGACCGGGAUGGACGCACCUCUGGUGUACCAGUUGUUCUGCCAAGGGCAUCGCUGGGUAGCUAUGUGCGGACGGGAUAAGUGCUGAAAGCAUCUAAGCAUGAAGCCCCCCUCAAGAUGAGAUUUCCCAUUCCGCAAGGAAGUAAGAUCCCUGAAAGAUGAUCAGGUUGAUAGGUCUGAGGUGGAAGUGUGGCGACACAUGGAGCUGACAGAUACUAAUCGAUCGAGGACUUAACCAA
rnacentral:rRNA from 1 species